AUUGAACGCUAGCGGCAUGCCUUACACAUGCAAGUCGAACGGCAGCACGGGGGCAACCCUGGUGGCGAGUGGCGAACGGGUGAGUAAUGCAUCGGAACGUGCCCAUCGAUGGGGGAUAACUGCGCGAAAGCGUUGCUAAUACCGCAUACGACCUACGGGUGAAAGCAGGGGACCGCAAGGCCUUGCGUCGAUGGAGCGGCCGAUGCCGGAUUAGCUAGUUGGUGAGGUAAAGGCUCACCAAGGCGACGAUCCGUAGCUGGCCUGAGAGGACGACCCAGCCACACUGGGACUGAGACACGGCCCAGACUCCUACGGGAGGCAGCAGUGGGGAAUCUUGGACAAUGGGCGAAAGCCUGAUCCAGCAAUGCCGCGUGUGGGAAGAAGGCCUUCGGGUUGUAAACCACUUUUGGCGGGAAAGAAAUGGUCUGUGCUAAUACCACGGAUUGAUGACGGUACCCGCAGAAUAAGCACCGGCUAACUACGUG
rnacentral:rRNA from 1 species